UGUGCUUGUCUCAAAGAUUAAGCCAUGCAUGUCUCAGUACAAUCCGAUUAAUGGAGAAACCGCGAAUGGCUCAUUACAACAGCUAUAGUUUAUUAGAUCUUACUCUACUUGGAUACCUGUGGUAACCUAAGAGCUAAUACAUGCAACUAAGUCCUGACCGGAAGGGAAGGAUGCCUUUAUUAGAACAAAACCAAUCGGGCUCUGCCCGCGUGUUGGUGAAUCUGAAUAACUAUGCUGAUCGCACAGUCCACGUACUGGCGACGUAUCUUUCAAAUGUCUGCCUUAUCAACUUUCGAUGGUAGUUUACACGGCUACCAUGGUUUUCACGGGUAACGGAGAAUUAGGGUUCGACUCCGGAGAGGGAGCCUGAGAAACGGCUACCACAUCCAAGGAAGGCAGCAGGCAGCA
rnacentral:rRNA from 1 species